GAACGAAACCUUUAGGGGUUGAGUGGCGGACGGGUGAGUAACGCGUGAGAAUCUGGCUUCAGGUCUGGGACAACCACUGGAAACGGUGGCUAAUACCGGAUGUGCCGAGAGGUGAAAGGUUAACUGCCUGAAGAUGAGCUCGCGUCUGAUUAGCUAGUUGGUGGUGUAAUGGACUACCAAGGCGACGAUCAGUAGCUGGUCUGAGAGGACGAUCAGCCACACUGGGACUGAGACACGGCCCAGACUCCUACGGGAGGCAGCAGUGGGGAAUUUUCCGCAAUGGGCGAAAGCCUGACGGAGCAAUACCGCGUGAGGGAGGAAGGCUCUUGGGUCGUAAACCUCUUUUCUCAGGGAAGAACACAAUGACGGUACCUGAGGAAUAAGCAUCGGCUAACUCCGUGCCAGCAGCCGCGGUAAUACGGAGGAUGCAAGCGUUAUCCGGAAUGAUUGGGCGUAAAGCGUCCGCAGGUGGCGAUGUAAGUCUGCUGUUAAAGCGUCUAGCUCAACUAGAUAAGAGCAGUGGAAACUACAGCGCUAGAGUGCGUUCGGGGCAGAGGGAAUUCCUGGUGUAGCGGUGAAAUGCGUAGAGAUCAGGAAGAACACCAGUGGCGAAGGCGCUCUGCUAGGCCGCAACUGACACUGAGGGACGAAAGCUAGGGGAGCGAAUGGGAUUAGAUACCCCAGUAGUCCUAGCCGUAAACGAUGGAUACUAGGCGUGGCUUGUAUCGACCCGAGCCGUGCCGUAGCUAACGCGUUAAGUAUCCCGCCUGGGGAGUACGCCGGCAACGGUGAAACUCAAAGGAAUUGACGGGGGCCCG
rnacentral:rRNA from 1 species